ensembl:lncRNA
UGCUCGGGAGGCGGAGCUCCGAGCGCGACCGGGAGGGCUACGCGGCGGCCGCAGCCAUGGGCUCUGGGCCUGCGGGGGCGCGGUGGGGGUGCGAGGACCUGCGGGGCCGGGCGGGAGAGACGGCUGCCGGGACCCGCCCUAGACACUGAGCCGCGGUGGGAUCCCCGCUGGCUCUGCGAGGCCCUGCGAGCGCCAGGGAGGCGCCUCGACGGAGCGGGGCAGCCCCCGGCCACUUCAGGGGGGCCCGCUUCGCCGCCCGGGCGGUCGAGAGGGCCUUGGGGGCACAUCUCGGGGUGCGGUGACCCGCCUGGCGCAUUUCGGGGGUCGGGGCGCGUUUGCCAGGGGACAUCUGGAGCCCGGCCCUGCUUCUGUCGGGCUCCAGGGUACCCCUGGAUGGCUGCGCUGUGCCCUCGCCGGCCGCCCGGGCGCCGCAGCGGCUGAGUUCGCCGGGAUCGCCGGGCCGCCGCCGCCCUUGCCACCCGCUGCAUGCUCGGCGCCCGGGUCGCGGCCCACCUGGACGCACUGGGCCCCCUGGUCCCCUACGUGCCGCCGCCGCUGCUGCCCUCUAUGUUCUACGUGGGCCUGUUCUUCGUCAAUGUGCUGAUCCUGUACUACGCCUUCCUCAUGGAGUACAUCGUUCUCAACGUGGGCCUCGUCUUCCUGCCCGAGGACAUGGACCAGGCGCUCGUGGACCUCGGCGUGCUCUCCGACCCCGGCUCGGGCCUUUACGAUGCUGACUCGGAGCUCGACGUCUUUGAUGGGUACUUGGAGUAGGGUCUCGACUGCCGUUCCCCUCUUCCCUCCACGAUCCGCAACCCACUCCCUGGACCAGCCGCCCAGAUCAUACCGCCGCAGCUGGUUGGGGGCACCAUCUGGACGGGGAUGGUUCCCCAGGAGGAGACCCUCCCCUGCCUCCGAGGCCUGUCUAACUGGAUGCCAGGAAUGGCCAGACUCCUCUUAAGCCCUUCGUUUGGGCUGGAAAGCUUCCCCCAGCAAAGGGGACAGCUGGUGAAAAGGAAGGGGACCCCGAGAGGACAUGGACCUGUGCAGAGACAGGCAACUUCUCCUUUGCUGUCUGUCUCCUUCCAGCCACCAGGAGAUGGCCAGACCCCAGCCAUGCCUUCAUCCAGAGAUAAGGUAGAGACCCUCCUGCUACAUAGCCUGUCAUCAGCGUGGAGUAUCAGAAUGGCUGCGCCUGCUCCCCUCAAAAGCUUCGUGCCAACAGAGAGGUUCCUGUUUGGACCCAGGAGAGUGGAAGAGAGAUUGGGACUGACUGCUGAGGAACCCAGCCAGAGUUUGCCUCCCUGCACUUCAUCCCGGAGCGCACCUGCUUCCCCCACUUCACCUUCAGAGAGGACACUUCAAACUGCGGACACACACAAAAGCGACUCCCAGCUCCGUUUGAUGUUACUCAUUCUUCAGCAAGUUGGCAAAACAGACAUCAUGCUGGUGAGGAGACUGAGGUGUGGGAGAGUACAGGCGGCAGAACUCUCGCGGGAGACAGUUGUAGCACCACUUGCCCUCAUGUGAUGCUAAAGAAAGAAAAGCUACGAAAUCUGAAAAGAAGACAUUUGAGAGGCCCAAGGAAAAAGGUGAGCGUGAGGAGGGAGACAUUUGCAUGCAGAGAGAGGCCUGAGAGGAAGAGUGACCAUUUGGAAGGUGCGCGGACUUACAGUCCACUGGACGUGGAAUUGCACCAUCAUGCCCUGAUUCCUCCAAGCAGCGCUUUACUACCUGACAAAUGGGGUUCAGGGGCACUUCCAGCACACUGUGCCUUUGCCUGCAGAGAGGUCCUCCAAAGAAGUCAGAAGUCCAUUCCUUUGUAGGAGUGUGACUAUAAGUAUUGCUUAGAUCUGUGACACGGGGUCAGUAAUUUAUCCACAUCUUAUGAUGACUGUGCAUUAACUACAAAAAGGUGCCCCUCUGGGUUAAAAGGCUCCACACCAGGACUCCCAGCUUGGCAAGCAGAACCCAGACUGGUUUGCAGCCCCCAUGUUCCCCCUUGUCCAGGUGCCUUUGUGCAGUGUACAGACUGGCCAACCUCACCUGGCAGCCCUGUCCAGAGUUUUUUUAAUUUGCUAAAAUAUAAGACUCACCAGGGCAGGAACAUCUUAUUCAUGACUGUGCACUCAGUACGUAUUUGUAGAAUGAAUGAAACAGGUGAGGAUUAUUUGUUCAUUUUAUGUUAUUGAGCACCUAUUAUACACAGGCGCCUUGCUGGGUGCAGAGGGCACAACAGUGUACAAAGCAAGAUGUUUCCCGCCCUCCUGGAGCUCAUGUCCUAGGACAAGAGCAGACUGCAUAAAUAAGUGAAAAAGAUAAACUAGUGAUGGGGUUGCAGAGUGGGGCAAGUCCUGAAGGAUGAGAAAUCGGCCAUAUGGAGAGCUGGGAGGAACAUUCCAGCCAGAGGCAAGAAUGAAACACAGAUAUAUGUAAUAAUGACAGCCAAGAUGUUAUUGAGCCUAAUUCUCAACCUAUUAGCUCACCACACCUUCACAUAAUCCUAUAAAAAAGGUGCUGUGGUUAUGCUCAUUUUACAAAUGAGGAGACUGAGGCACAGAGAACUAGCUUGCAUAAGUAAGUGGUAAGGAGGGCGUUGAGCCCAGGCAACAUUGUUCUAGACUCUCUGCCAUUCGCCCCUAGACUCUUAUCCCUCUUGGGUAGGAGUUUAGCACAGUGUCUGGCACACAGUUGUCACUUAUUGAGCUAAUACUUUCUGAGCACUUUGAAUUUCCCUUGCACUGUGAUAAGGGCUUUGCAUGUAUCAGCUCAUUAAAUAAACAGUAGUGGCUGGGUGCGGUGGCUCACACCUGUAAUCCCAGCACUUUGGGAGGCCAAGGCAGGCAGAUUACCUGAGGUCAGGAGUUUGAGAUCAGCCUGGCCAACAUGGUGAAAUUCCAGCUCUACUAAAAAUACAAAAAUUAGCCAGGCGUGGUGGUGCAUGCCUGUAAUCCCAGCUACUUGGAAGGCUGAGGUGGGAGAAUCUCUUGAACCCAGGAGGCAGAGGUUGCAGUGAGCCGAGAUCACGCCACCGCACUCCAGUGUGGGCAACAAGAGUGAAAACUCUGUCUCAAAAAAAUAAAAUAAAAUAAUAAUAAAC